rnacentral:piRNA from 1 species
AGGCAACCUCACGAAAUGAUACCUAAAU